GACGAACGCUGGCGGCGUGCUUAACACAUGCAAGUCGAGCGGAGCGGCGAACGGGUGAGUAACGCGUGAGUAACUUCCCCCCUCUCUGGGCUUACAGUUGGAAACGGCUGCUAAUACCGGAUAUUGUGGGAUGACUCGCGGCCUAUCAGCUUGUUGGUGGGGUAGUGGCAUACCAAGGCGACGACGGGUACCCGGCCUGGGAGGGGGAACGGCCACAGUGGGCUAAGGUACGGACCAUACGGCUACGGGGGGCAACAGUGGAAAAUAUUGCGAAGUGGGGGAAAGCGUGAUGAGGAAACGCCGCGUGCGGAAUGAAGGCCAACGGGUUAUAAACCGCUGUAAGCCAUGACGCGGUAGUGGCAGAAGAAGCACCGGCUAACUACGUGCCAGCAGCCGCGGUAAUUA
rnacentral:rRNA from 1 species